rfam:Thalassiosira oceanica strain CCMP1005 To_g50529, whole genome shotgun sequence.
GCCUGUGUAGCUCAGUGGUAGAGCAUUUCAUUCGUAAUGAAAAGGUCCGUGGUUCGAGCCCGCGCGUAGGCU